rnacentral:tRNA from 3 species
UAGGAAAUAGUGUAGUGGGAGCACAAAGAGUUUUGCUCUCUUUAGGCGGGGUUCAAGUCCCUUUUUUCUAA